AUCGGGGAAGGGUGAGAACCUUCGACUAAGGUUCGAUUCGAGCGAAAGCGAGAGAACGUUGCCACAGGCAACGACCCGAAGGGUGAGGAGCGAAGCGACGAAUAAUCCUUCCCCCACCACCA
rnacentral:sRNA from 1 species